rnacentral:rRNA from 1 species
AUUGAACGCUGGCGGUAGGCCUAACACAUGCAAGUCGAACGGCAGCACAGGAGAGCUUGCUCUCUGGGUGGCGAGUGGCGGACGGGUGAGGAAUACAUCGGAAUCUACCUUUUCGUGGGGGAUAACGUAGGGAAACUUACGCUAAUACCGCAUACGACCUACGGGUGAAAGUGGGGGACCGCAAGGCCUCACGCGAUUAGAUGAGCCGAUGUCCGAUUAGCUAGUUGGCGGGGUAAUGGCCCACCAAGGCGACGAUCGGUAGCUGGUCUGAGAGGAUGAUCAGCCACACUGGAACUGAGACACGGGCCAGACUCCUACGGGAGGCAGCAGUGGGGAAUAUUGGACAAUGGGCGCAAGCCUGAUCCAGCCAUACCGCGUGGGUGAAGAAGGCCUUCGGGUUGUAAAGCCCUUUUGUUGGGAAAGAAAUCCUGUCGAUUAAUACUCGGUGGGGAUGACGGUACCCAAAGAAUAAGCACCGGCUAACUUCGUGCCAGCAGCCGCGGUAAGAC